CUGGGAUUACCUUAGUACGGCGAGUGAAGCGGUAAAAGCUCAAAUUUGAAAUCUGGUACUUUCAGUGCCCGAGUUGUAAUUUGUAGAAUUUGUCUUUGAUUAGGUCCUUGUCUAUGUUCCUUGGAACAGGACGUCAUAGAGGGUGAGAAUCCCGUUUGGCGAGGAUACCUUUUCUCUGUAAGACUUUUUCGAAGAGUCGAGUUGUUUGGGAAUGCAGCUCAAAGUGGGUGGUAAAUUCCAUCUAAAGCUAAAUAUUGGCGAGAGACCGAUAGCGAACAAGUACAGUGAUGGAAAGAUGAAAAGAACUUUGAAAAGAGAGUGAAAAAGUACGUGAAAUUGUUGAAAGGGAAGGGCAUUUGAUCAGACAUGGUGUUUUUUGCAUGCACUCGCCUCUCGUGGGCUUGGGCCUCUCAAAAAUUUCACUGGGCCAACAUCAAUUCUGGCAGCAGGAUAAAUCAUUAAGAAUGUAGCUACUUCGGUAGUGUUAUAGCUUUUUGGAAUACUGUUAGCCGGGAUUGAGGACUGCGCUUCGGCAAGGAUGUUGGCAUAAUGGUUAAAUGCCGCCCGUC
rnacentral:rRNA from 1 species